CUAUGACAUAAACCAUAUACCAGUCAAUACGAACAACUGUUUAAAAUCUAAAGAUCUUGGCGGUGUCUUAUCUGCUCAGGGGAACCUGUCCCUUAAUUCGAUAAUCCACGAUAAUCUCACCACCGCUUGAACCAUCAGCCUGUGUACUGCCGUCGUCAGCAUACCCUUAAGGGUAAGUAUGCAAUAUUGUUCCACAAACACGUCAGGUCAUAGUGCAGCUUAUGCGGCGGAGGAGAUGGGUUACACCUAUAAGCCUAACACCAGCUCCAGUACUAAAAUACUCGAAAAAGGUGGACUUGACAGUAAUGGAUAAACCCAAAAUCCAUGAACAUGAACCUAGGACAUGCACACAUCGCCCGUCACUCUCGCCGAGAGGCC
rnacentral:rRNA from 1 species